UGGGCGUAGAGGGUCUGUAGGUGGUUUGUUAAGUCAGAUGUGAAAGCCCAGGGCUCAACCUUGGAACUGCAUUUGAUACUGGCAAACUAGAGUAUGGUAGAGGAAUGGGGAAUUUCUGGUGUAGCGGUGAAAUGCGUAGAGAUCAGAAGGAACACCAAUGGCGAAGGCAACAUUCUGGACCAAUACUGACACUGAGGGACGAAAGCGUGGGGAUCAAACAGGAUUAGAUACCCUGGUAGUCCGCGCUGUAAACGAUGAGUACUAGCUGUUGGAUUCGGUGUAAAGGAUCUAGUGGCGUAGCUAACGCGUUAAGUACUCCGCCUGGGGACUACGGCCGCAAGGCUAAAACUCAAAGGAAUUGACGGGGACCCGCACAAGCGGUGGAGCAUGUGGUUUAAUUCGAUGCAACGCGAAGAACCUUACCUGGUCUUGACAUCCUGCGAACUUUCUAGAGAUAGAUUGGUGCCUUCGGGAACGCAGUGACAGGUGCUGCACGGCUGUCGUCAGCUCGUGUUGUGAAAUGUUGGGUUAAGUCCCGCAACGAGCGCAACCCCUAUUGAUAGUUACCAUCAUUAAGUUGGGUACUCUAUUGAGACUGCCGCUGACAAGGCGGAGGAAGGUGGGGACGACGUCAAGUCAUCAUGGCCCUUACGACCAGGGCUACACACGUGCUACAAUGGGUAUUACAGAGGGCAGCGAAGUAGCGAUAUGGAGCGAAACUCAGAAAGGUACUCUUAGUCCGGAUUGCAGUCUGCAACUCGACUGCAUGAAGUCGGAAUCGCUAGUAAUCGCAGGUCAGAAUACUGCGGUGAAUACGU
rnacentral:rRNA from 1 species